rnacentral:rRNA from 1 species
AGACGUCUACAUUAGAUACCCCUGUAGUCCCAGCCGUAAACUAUGCGCGUUAGGUGUAUCGGUGACCACGAGUCACCGAGGUGCCGGAGAGAAGUUGUUAAGUCUGCUACUUGGGGAGUACGUCCGCAAGGAUGAAACUUAAAGGAAUUGGCGGGGGAGCACCACAACGGGUGGAGCCUGCGGUUUAAUUGGACUCAACGCCGGACAUCUCACCAGGAGCGACAGCUGUAUGAUUACCAGGCUGAUGACCUUGUUUGACUAGCUG